AGGGGACCUAUUUGCAGUAAGGCACUCUGACUAUUGUAGCUAACGGUACUGCAAACAUUAGAUGUAGUGUAUUUUUUAAAAUGCAAUAAGAUUAACAAAUGUAGUGACAUAACAGAAUGGAUCAGAUAAAAUUGAGUUAAACCCGACCCUAUCAAUCAUUAAAACCCUGCUAUUUCAGUCAACUUGUAGUUUUUCAGCCCAUUUAGGAUCAAUAAAUAAUAUGACCUACUGGCUUCUCUCCCCAUCAAGGGGAAGUUUGACCUCCCGUAUGCAAACAGUGUCUGGUGACGCGUCUGCAGCGAGUUAGUUACUGUGCAUUUCACUGUGUCCAGCAGGUUCUAUCCCAAACCCACAUGUCAAUGUGCUCUACAGGCGUUGUAACAGUGUCUGGUGACGCGUCUGCAGUGAGUUAGUUACUGUGCAUUUCACUGUGUCCCGCAGGUUCUAUCCCAAACCCACAUGUCAAUGUGCUCUACAGGCGUUGUAACAGUGUCUGGUGACGCGUCUGCAGUGAGUUAGUUACUGUGCAUUUCACUGUGUCCAGCAGGUUCUAUCCCAAACCCACAUGUCAAUGUGCUCUACAGGCGUUGUAACAGUGUCUGGUGACGCGUCUGCAGUGAGUUAGUUACUGUGCAUUUCACUGUGUGUCCAGCAGGUUCUAUCCCAAACCCACAUGUCAAUGUGCUCUACAGGCGUUGUAACAGUGUCUGGUGACGCGUCUGCAGCGAGUUAGUUACUGUGCAUUUCACUGUGUCCAGCAGGUUCUAUCCCAAACCCACAUGUCAAUGUGCUCUACAGGCGUUGUAACAGUGUCUGGUGACGCGUCUGCAGUGAGUUAGUUACUGUGCAUUUCACUGUGUGUCCAGCAGGUUCUAUCCCAAACCCACAUGUCAAUGUGCUCUACAGGCGUUGUAACAGUGUAUAACGUGACUCUGAGUGCAUCCCAGAGGGCACCCUAUUCUCUUUAUA